GAUGAACGCUGGCGGCGUGCCUAAUACAUGCAAGUCGAGCGAACAGACGAGGAGCUUGCUCCUCUGACGUUAGCGGCGGACGGGUGAGUAACACGUGGAUAACCUACCUAUAAGACUGGGAUAACUUCGGGAAACCGGCGCUAAUACCGGAUAAUAUAUUGAACCGCAUGGUUCAAUAGUGAAAGACGGUUUUGCUGUCACUUAUAGAUGGAUCCGCGCCGCAUUAGCUAGUUGGUAAGGUAACGGCUUACCAAGGCAACGAUGCGUAGCCGAGCUGAGAGGGUGAUCGGCCACACGGGAACUGAGACACGGUCCAGACUCCUACGGGAGGCAGCAGUAGGGAAUCUUCCGCAAUGGGCGAAAGCCUGACGGAGCAACGCCGCGUGAGUGAUGAAGGUCUUCGGAUCGUAAAACUCUGUUAUUAGGGAAGAACAAAUGUGUAAGUAACUAUGCACGUCUUGACGGUACCUAAUCAGAAAGCCACGGCUAACUACGUG
rnacentral:rRNA from 1 species